rnacentral:rRNA from 1 species
AACACAUGCAAGUCGAGCGGGGAAGAGUAGCUUGCUACUUAACCUAGCGGCGGACGGGUGAGUAAUGCUUAGGAAUCUGCCUAUUAGUGGGGGACAACAUCUCGAAAGGGAUGCUAAUACCGCAUACGUCCUACGGGAGAAAGCAGGGGACCUUCGGGCCUUGCGCUAAUAGAUGAGCCUAAGUCGGAUUAGCUAGUUGGUGGGGUAAAGGCCUACCAAGGCGACGAUCUGUAGCGGGUCUGAGAGGAUGAUCCGCCACACUGGGACUGAGACACGGCCCAGACUCCUACGGGAGGCAGCAGUGGGGAAUAUUGGACAAUGGGGGGAACCCUGAUCCAGCCAUGCCGCGUGUGUGAAGAAGGCCUUUUGGUUGUAAAGCACUUUAAGCGAGGAGGAGGCUACCGAGAUUAAUACUCUUGGAUAGUGGACGUUACUCGCAGAAUAAGCACCGGCUAACUCUGUGCCAGCAGCCGCGGUAAUACAGAGGGUGCAAGCGUUAAUCGGAUUUACUGGGCGUAAAGCGCGCGUAGGUGGCCAAUUAAGUCAAAUGUGAAAUCCCCGAGCUUAACUUGGGAAUUGCAUUCGAUACUGGUUGGCUAGAGUAUGGGAGAGGAUGGUAGAAUCCC